rnacentral:rRNA from 1 species
AGUCGAACGAUGAACCACUUCGGUGGGGAUUAGUGGCGAACGGGUGAGUAACACGUGGGCAAUCUGCCCUGCACUCUGGGACAAGCCCUGGAAACGGGGUCUAAUACCGGAUACUGAACCUUGCAGGCAUCUGUGAGGGUCGAAAGCUCCGGCGGUGCAGGAUGAGCCCGCGGCCUAUCAGCUAGUUGGUGAGGUAAUGGCUCACCAAGGCGACGACGGGUAGCCGGCCUGAGAGGGCGACCGGCCACACUGGGACUGAGACACGGCCCAGACUCCUACGGGAGGCAGCAGUGGGGAAUAUUGCACAAUGGGCGAAAGCCUGAUGCAGCGACGCCGCGUGAGGGAUGACGGCCUUCGGGUUGUAAACCUCUUUCAGCAGGGAAGAAGCGAAAGUGACGGUACCUGCAGAAGAAGCGCCGGCUAACUACGUGCCAGCAGCCGCGGUAAUACGUAGGGCGCAAGCGUUGUCCGGAAUUAUUGGGCGUAAAGAGCUCGUAGGCGGCUUGUCGCGUCGGUUGUGAAAGCCCGGGGCUUAACCCCGGGUCUGCAGUCGAUACGGGCAGGCUAGAGUUCGGUAGGGGAGAUCGGAAUUCCUGGUGUAGCGGUGAAAUGCGCAGAUAUCAGGAGGAACACCGGUGGCGAAGGCGGAUCUCUGGGCCGAUACUGACGCUGAGGAGCGAAAGCGUGGGGAGCGAACAGGAUUAGAUACCCUGGUAGUCCACGCCGUAAACGGUGGGCACUAGGUGUGGGCAACAUUCCACGUUGUCCGUGCCGCAGCUAA